UGACCUCGUGAUCUGCCCGCCUCAGCGUCCCAAAGUGCUGGGAUUACAGGUGUGAGCCACCAUGCCCAGCCCAUCUGACGAAUCUUUGUUGUGAGCACUGGAAACUCGAUGGCAAGAAACGGACACUGUCCCUGCCCUCAGAAGAUUAUCCUCAAGUCUGAUGGAUAUAAUAGCCCAAUGCUAUACAGGUGGUUGCUGUCUUGUGUCACCCUGUGUAGAUGAAACUACUAUAAACCUCCAGGUAUGUCACUGCCAAAUUUUCAAAGACUACACUUUUCAUUGCAGAUGUGACUCAUUGUCUUAGUCUGUUUUUGUGUUGCUAUAAGGGAUUACCUGCAGCUGGACAAUUUGUAAGGAAAAGAGGUUUAUUUGGCACACAGCUUUGCAGACUAUACAAGAAGCAUGGCGCCAGCAUCUACUUCUGGUGAGGGCUUCAGAAACUUCCACGCACAGCAGAGGGGGAAGGAGAUCAGGCAUCACCAGGCAAGAGAAGAAGCAAGAGAUAAAAGGGAGGAGGUACCAGGCUUUUUUAAAACUGUCAAUUCUCGUAGGAACUAUUAGAGUGAGAACUCACUCACUACUGGGAGGACGGCACCAAGAUGUUCAUGUGGGAUUUACCCCCAUGAUCAAAGCCCCUCCACCAGGCCCCACCUCCACCAUGGGGGAUUGCACUUCAACAUGAGACUUGGUAGGACCAAACUGUAUCCAAACCAUAGCGCUCAUCAUCCGUUCAUCCAUCCAUUAAUUCAUUUUUCACACAUUUAUUUGGCACAUUUGCUAUGCGUCAAAUGCUGGGUCAAGGUACGUUGAGGGUACAGGGAUGCCCAAGAACACUGCUGCAGAGAACACUGCUGUAGAGGAUUCUCCAGCUGGUGGGUUAAGGAGCUGCCAUCUCCUGCUUCUCUGCCUGUGGAGGAAUAAAUGUGCAAUGGAUAUAUGCAAUUUUUUUGCUGUAGGAUUUAUAGGAAUACUGCCUAGAAAUACUUUUGCUCCAAACUCCUCUCAGGCAGGGCUCACACCUCCAUGGAGCACUCAGCUACUAACUUAUCGAAACCAUUAGUACUCCCAAUUGACACAACUCAGGGCCACCCUUUACAAUCAUCACUAACCAAAGAGCCACAUGCUUCUGAGUGUUGUUUAAUAUGCUGUUGUAAUAUGGAAAUAAGAGGCCUUGAGGGGUCCUGGGAGCCUGUGUGGGGGCUGUCAGUGUCCCAUCCAUAUCCUUCUCCCUUCACCACUUUGGAGCCCUGGAUUUCCAGCUGCCAGCACGUACAUUUCUUCUCCCAUAAGUGUUCUCUGGCUGCCAUGGGAUCCAUGACUCCUGGGACGACUCAGCCAAUUACAGAUGGCGGGACCCUCGGAAGUGCAUCUGCUACACCAGCUCCUGGAUUUCCACAGCAGGCAUCCUAUCAUCAACGGAAGUCAAUUUCAUCCGCCUGAUGGGAAAACACCACAUCCUUCAUAAAUGGAAUCGCCCCCUCUGAAACUGACGUUCCACACAAGCAAAUGACCAACUGUGCUGGCGCUGGUGCAGGAUUAAAGAUGAUGAUCCUAUCUCAUGUUCCUACCACCGCUCAUCAUUUCUAAGCCAUCAUCGUACAGAAACCACUUGAUCUGCUUCUGAUUCGAGUCUCUUCAGGGGUGGAAGCGUAUUGGCCAGGGACACCAAUAGCUCACAGCCCCUGCAUGCCUGUGAGGAAGGAAACAUCCAGCCCAGAGCCUGGGAUAAAAGAAGAAGGCAACCUGCGUUUGUGUGCAAGCCCAUGUUUGCCUGCGGCCCUCAUGCCCUCUGUCCCCACAUCUAGAUGGAUGCUUCCUGAAAAGGUGUUCUCAGCAGCCAGUGUGCUCCUCCGGUGGAGCCCAUACCCCACACUGCCUGGAAAUCCACCUAAGAGACCACACAAGUAUCCAUCUGUAGAACCCAUCUUGUCCUCCAAACUCCAAAGCAGCUUCUACUUCCAGAGAGCCUGACUGCCAUCCAGCAGAGGGGCAAGCGGGGCCAUCGAGGUGUCUGAGUGGAUGCAGGCACCCAGGGAGCCACUCGGAGCCCGUUCUAGUGACUUGGUUAUUUCUGCCAGUACUGCUAUUGUCCAGGAGUGCCUGCAGACCUGAGUUUGGUUUCCUCCACAGAAAACAAGAACUUGUGCACGGGUAGUUUAUUUGUUAGGUAACUCCAGGAAGCAAGAGAAAGAAGUCGGGAGAGACAAGGGGGAUGGAAAAAUUCACAUGGUGGGCAGAUGUUGCUGAACUGCCUGACCCGUGGCUAACUGGGGCUCGGUCCUGCUAAGGAAAUUAUAGAUGUGCCUCAGGGUUUCCUUCUAUUUCCUUCUAGUCACCGACUCCCAACCCUUUCUGGUGGAGGGCUCCCUCUCCUUCUCUCUCUCCACUUCAGGGCUGUCUUGUUGGGCUGAGUGAGCUCUGGGGGCGUUGAAGAAAGACCUGGGGCUAAAAGGAGUGAAAGAUGCAGAGGGCACUUGGAGUGGCACCACUGGCGGCAUGGCAAGUCGUGCCAGACACAGCAGCAACUGAAACAGGGGCCGAGGGGCAUGGCAUGGGGCCUGCUGGUCGCCACAGCCUGUUAGCUCCUGCACCUUUCUUGAGUUGCUGCCAGGAGCUACCCUGUUGGUGGCUACCCUGAUCUUCCCAUGGGGAUACAAAUGGCACAUGGAGGCUAAGCUGGGCGUCAGACAGGCUGCUGGGAUAAGCCAGAGGGGGCGGCAGCUUAGGGUCUGUACAGCUCAGGCUGUUGGUGCACAGUUCCGGGUGGGCGGUGCCGUAGUUCUGUGUGCAGGCUCAGGAGCCAAAUGGUGUGGGUUCAAAUCCUGGCUCUGCCUCUUAUUAACUAUGAGCCUUGAGGUGAGUUCCUUACCGUGUGUCACCUGUAGGAUGGGGAAAACGGAAAGCACGUAGGAAGAUGAAACCACUCUAGAGGGUGGUUGGGAGGCUCUCAUGAAAUCAAGCCUGGGAAGCACUUUGUCCAGGACUGGUGCGGAGAUGGAGGCAAUACCUGGUAGAGGUCAGAAUUAUUAGGUCUUUGACUCAGCAUCCUUCCUGCAAAGGAAAUCAACAUAGAGCUCCUUUCUCGCACACUGCAGCUGCGUAGUAGCACUCUAUUGUCCGCUUUAAUAGCGCCCACCAUUGCAAGCAUGUAAAUGCAGCCACAGUUGUGAGAAGUAGCCCUGGAAGCAUUUCUUUCUCCUCUACUAUGUAAAGGGCAAAAGAGGCAUUGUUGAAAUAAAGAAUAGCCUGUGCCCCUUCCCCACCUCAAGCUUCUUGGGCAAGGUCCGUUGCUAACUCUGAGUCUCUCCGAGGUCACUUACAUCUAUAAUUGCUUCAGGGUAACUGUUGUAAUGCUUGCACCAAAAUCACCCUUUAUGCUCCAUGAAACAAACGGCUUUAAAGUCAUCUUUCAGCAGCUUUAUUUUGGGUUUACUAAAUUACUUAUUCUACAAUAAACCUGAUGAGAGGCAUGCUUCAUUAUUCUUGAGUUCUACUCUAGCAAAAGUAUAACAAAUGUGGAUUCAAGCACUUCUGGUUGCUUGUCUGUUUCAUCCAUCCUUUCAUUCCUUCCCUCCCUCUCAGCAUCUUGCUUUACCCUGGAUGCUGGCAUCUCCUGUGCUGUGGAGAUGGGGAUUAGUUUGUAGAAGGAGAUAACUCCCCCAGUCCUGGUAGUUUUCAUCAACCCUCUGACGGGUGUAAAAUCAGGACAAUGGAAAAGCGGAUAGUAGUACAAAAUAGUUAAAAUCAAACCCUGAACUCAGAGUUCAAAGACUGACUAUGCCACUUGGAAAGGAUGUUUUUGGGGGUUAGCAGUAUCUGUUUCACUGUGUAAAGCACCUACCACAAUGUCCGGCACCUAUUAAGCUAAAAGGAGAAUGCUGUUUCAACUAAAGCAUGACAUAUUGGAACUAACAAAGGUUUCGAAUUUAGACACAUGUGAUUGAAAUCUCAGAUGGAACAUAUCCAGCAUAUCUUGAAUUUGAAUUUCAAAACCCGAAUUAAAGUAUUUAAACUUUCCUUCAUAACAGGCAUCACCCCCAACCCCAGGAUACUUAAGGAUAAAUCUAGAACAUGAUUAAAUACC